UGUAUAGCAGAACCUGUUUCGUAUAUCAAGGACAAGGAUGUGCACCGAAUAAAGACUCAUCUCCAUAUAGUCAUAUACUGACCAGUGAUUAUUAAGUACGAGACAUUCAAAGAUCAUCAUCAUUCAGCAUAACAACAGGUACAACAAGAGUCGCUUUUCAAGAUAAACGUAAUUCUUAAGCAAGAAAAAGACUGUAUUCUGAACAAUGAAAUUUCUGCGUGCUUUUGGAAACCCACUGCGUCAAAUUGGGCGAAUACUUUCGACGCAAAACAUCAAACAUCUUCACCAAACCUGGUUGCACCAGCGUCCUGCAAGCGUCAUACUAUAUUCUCCCAAGAAAUUGGAUCCUUCAGUUUAUAAGUGCAUUUCUUCGUUGGAUUUCAAGCCGGUUUAUGACUUGCUGAAGCAUUCGGAGUGUUUCGAUCUUAAGGAGGUGAUCAAUUCCGCAGAUGUGUGGAUAACUCCAGAGAAGUUUGAAACAAUUGUCGAUGUGGCGUUUAACAUCUUGCUCGAUCCAUUCCGCAGUCAAUCAGAUUCGGAGCCAGAAACGGUGCUGUUUUAUUACACUGGCCACGGUCUUACAAUUAAACAAGCGUCCAUGAUGAGACAAAAGUUUGACUACUUCUCUUCCCCUGAUCUCGAUUCCGUUGGAAUUUCCAAGGAGAUUCUUAAACCCGCGGCAAGAUAUAUAAAGCCAGAACGACCUCUAAAAGGUGGUGAAUUUUGUUUGCACAAAUUUGG
rnacentral:lncRNA from 1 species